rnacentral:rRNA from 1 species
UACGUAGGGCGCAAGCGUUGUCCGGAAUUAUUGGGCGUAAAGAGCUCGUAGGCGGUCUGUCGCGUCCGUUGUGAAAACUCGAGGCUCAACCUCGGGCUUGCAGUGGAUACGGGCAGACUAGAGUGCGGUAGGGGAGACUGGAAUUCCUGGUGUAGCGGUGAAAUGCGCAGAUAUCGGGAAGAACACCCGUGGCGAAGGCGGCUCUCUGG